rnacentral:lncRNA from 1 species
GGCCGAGUAUGUAUGGCAGCAGAAAGCACGAUUUGCUGGUGCUAAUGUCGUUGAGGUAUUCGCGUAUUAUCCAUUUCAUUUGAUUCCGUCUUCAGUGAGGUCUCCUGAAAGUUAAGAGUCAGUUGAGUUAGGGCAAUCUGCUUUAUUGUUUUAUAACGGGGAAGUUUAAUGGCUAGGGUGACUCUCUGACCUCCGAAUUGGUUGUAGCUUGGUGCUGGUACUUCAUUGCCUGGAUUGGUUGCGGCUAAAUUAGGCGCCAGUGUCACCUUGACUGAUGAUGCUAAUAGAGUGGAGGUAUUGCUUCGUCUUAGUUGCUUUGCCUGAAAAUAUAAGUUUCAUUCAUACGCCAAUAGUAUAAAAAUGGGAAAGGGGUGUCAAUGGCUGUGUUAAUAUGAGCAUCAUGGGCAGUUAGAUGGAUCUACUUAUUUGAUCUCUGAUCGCCAACUCUUCAAUCUAUAGGUGCUGGACAAUAUCAGGAAAGUUUGUGACCUGAAUAAUCUUAAUUGUAACGUAAGUUCAAAUCCUCCAGCCAAGUUGUACUUAAUAAAACCUUUUUUUAAAAAAAGGGUAUUAUCUUCUCUUGCUAAUUCUUCCUUUCGAGAGAACGAUUUUG